CCCUGGUACCUCAAUUGGUAAAGAAUCUGCCUGCAAUGCAGGAAACCCUGGUUUGAUUCCUGGAUCAGGAA
rnacentral:tRNA from 1 species